rnacentral:misc_RNA from 1 species
AACGCACCUUGCGCCCCUUGGUAUUCCGAGGGGCAUGCCUGUUUGAGUGUCACGAACCCUUCGAACCCCGCCGGUUUUGACGAGCUGGCUGCCUGGGUUCGGUUCUGGGCGCGAUGCCAUCCCCCCCCUCGGGGCUGGCUUGCCAUAAAAGCAUUAGCUGGACCUUGCGACGUGGGCAGGUCCCGAUCGGCGUGAUAAGUCAUCUGCCGAGAGGGUGCCCGCCCCGCGGAUCGCGGUCCGCUUCCAACCUCCCCCGCCCGCCGCCUGGCGGUGCGGCGUGGGGCUUCCUCGAUGCUCUGGCCUCAAAUCAGGUAGGACUACCCGCUGAACUUAA